UGGGGAAUAUUGGACAAUGGGCGAAAGCCUGAUCCAGCCAUGCCGCGUGUGUGAAGAAGGCCUUUUGGUUGUAAAGCACUUUAAGCGAGGAGGAGGCUACUAGUACUAAUACUACUGGAUAGUGGACGUUACUCGCAGAAUAAGCACCGGCUAACUCUGUGCCAGCAGCCGCGGUAAUACAGAGGGUGCAAGCGUUAAUCGGAAUUACUGGGCGUAAAGCGCGCGUAGGUGGUUCGUUAAGUUGAAUGUGAAAGCCCCGGGCUCAACCUGGGAACUGCAUCCAAAACUGGCGAGCUAGAGUAGGGCAGAGGGUGGUGGAAUUUCCUGUGUAGCGGUGAAAUGCGUAGAUAUAGGAAGGAACACCAGUGGCGAAGGCGACCACCUGGGCUCAUACUGACGCUGAGGUACGAAAGCAUGGGGAGCAAACAGG
rnacentral:rRNA from 1 species